UCUUAACACCAUUUUUAACAUCAAAGGGUUUUCAUUUUGCCAGAAAAGAACCCUCAGCACCUGCAGAAUGGCAUCAAAAGAAAUGAAGUGGUUGCCACCACGCUGCCAUUAACCAAAUUCUAGCCAUUUGUAAUGUGUAGAAACUCGACUGACCAAUUAUUUUGUGAGUAAUUACUUUCUCCACUCUGGGUACCUGCCUAGGUACCUCACUUUAAUAAAUGAUAGCUUCUGCUCAGAAUGUGAGAUGCAGAACAUGAUGAAAAGAGCAAGUUUUUACAAACUUUGUUUUGCAAACACAAUAUAUUAAUUUGCUUGAUAUGGGACCGUGCAAUGUUAUUUCAACUGAAGAUAAUUUCCCAAAUCCUACACCAUAAAUUCAAGUCAUUCAUGAACUUAGCACAUUUACAUAUCCUUCAAAAGUUCUCUACAUGAUUAAUUAAUGAAGCUGGGAGGAAAUAGUUUAAACAACUUCCUGGGGACUAAAACAAAUCACAGAGACAUUGGAUAAAGGUUCUUUUCCUUUUGACAGUAUCAGGAUGACUUCACCCUUCAUUGUCGAGGUCAGGAUCAGGUGUCGCAAUCGCACAAUACUGAGUGAGAAGCUGUUGUAUCAGAGCAACUAAUGCAAGGAAGUGUUUAAAAUCUCUUGUUAGAUUUCCCAAAGGGAGGAAUAUUUUGCUCUGUUGAAAACCACAAGAAGGCACAUGAGCUAUAGGAUGCUAAAAUUUGAGCCUAUUUAUGGUUUCCUGUGCUUGCUAAGGCACCUCACUGGCUCAACCCUUCACUGCAGGUCUCAAAAACCUGGGGGAUCUUACCUGCUCCUGCCUCCUUAAAUAACUCCUGAUUACAUUAGCCUCUCAAUCUGACUCCAGGGAGAAAUGAAAGUGUUCCAAAGGAGUGAAAUCUAGGAAGCCUUCAGUGUUUUGGAGUUGAGAUGCUCAGUUUUGAAUCAGGGCAUGGCAUGAGCUGAAAACUGCUUUCUAGCCUUGUUGUAUAUGGGGAGUUAUUGGCACCACCAGAA
rnacentral:lncRNA from 1 species